AUUGAACGCUGGCGGCAUGCCUUACACAUGCAAGUCGAACGGUAACAGGUCUUCGGAUGCUGACGAGUGGCGAACGGGUGAGUAAUACAUCGGAACGUGCCCAGUAGUGGGGGAUAACUACUCGAAAGAGUGGCUAAUACCGCAUGAGAUCUACGGAUGAAAGCAGGGGAUCGCAAGACCUUGUGCUACUAGAGCGGCCGAUGGCAGAUUAGGUAGUUGGUGGGAUAAAAGCUUGCCAAGCCGACGAUCUGUAGCUGGUCUGAGAGGACGAUCAGCCACACUGGGACUGAGACGCGGCCCAGACUCCUACGGGAGGCAGCGGUGGGGAAUUUUGGACAAUGGGCGAAAGCCUGAUCCAGCAAUGCCGCGUGCAGGAUGAAGGCCUUCGGGUUGUAAACUGCUUUUGUACGGAACGAAAAGCCCCGGGUUAAUACCCUGGGGUCAUGACGGUACCGUAAGAAUAAGCACCGGCUAACUACGUGCCAGCCGCCGCGGUAA
rnacentral:rRNA from 1 species